rnacentral:RNase_P_RNA from 1 species
AGAGACGGCUGGAUGGUCGCUGGCUCACUUCGGUGGGCGAGAGGAAAGUCCGGGCGACGUAGAGCAGGGUGGUGGAUAACGUCCACCGGCCGUGAGGCUAGGGAAAGUGCCACAGAAAAGAUACCGCCGAGAAUGCCGUCUUACGAUGGCUUUUCGGUAAGGGUGAAAUGGUGCGGUAAGAGCGCACCGCGGACGAGGUGACUCGUCUGGCAGGGUAAACCCCACCCGGCGCAAGGCCAAGCAGAGAGCAGAGUCGGCUCGACUCGUUACGACUCUCGGGUAGGCUGCUUGAGGUGCGAGGCAACUCGCAUCCUAGAGGAAUGACCAUCGGUCGCCACGUGCGACGACAAAACCCGGCUUACAGGCCGUCUCUGGUA